rnacentral:rRNA from 1 species
CCUACGGGGGGCAGCAGUGAGGAAUAUUGGUCAAUGGGCUUACGCCUGAACCAGCCAAGUCGCGUGAGGGAAGACUGCCCUAUGGGUUGUAAACCUCUUUUGUCAGGGAGCAAUUGGCGCUACGUGUAGCGUUAUCGAGAGUACCUGAAGAAAAAGCAUCGGCUAACUCCGUGCCAGCAGCCGCGGUAAUACGGAGGAUGCGAGCGUUAUCCGGAUUUAUUGGGUUUAAAGGGUGCGUAGGCGGGAUGCCAAGUCAGCGGUAAAAUCGCGGGGCUCAACCUCGCUCCGCCGUUGAAACUGGAGUGCGGGAGGGGGGGAGAAGUAGGCGGAAUGUGGGGU